rnacentral:tRNA from 1 species
AAGGCUUUAGCUUAAUUAAAGCACCUGCUUUGCACGCAGGCGAUGUGGAUUAAUGUUCUGCAAGUCUUA